UACAAAUGGAAACAAAUGUGUGUCUUUUAUUGGUAAUAUGUGGGAAUCCAGCUGUCCAUGGCUUGGGGACUCUGCAGGUGUAGAUUGCCUGGGGACAGUCAAGGGGUGGUGAAUGCCUGGGACUUCCAGCAGGGCCCAGGUCCACCAGUAGCAGAAGGGGAGACCAGCUGUUCCCAGCUGGUAGCCAGGAGAUGCCUAUGGGGGACAGGCCUGAUUGCUGCUGGCCAGCUGCCCCCUGCUGUAGGAGGGAGAUGGAGAACAAGCAAAUGCUUCUGGGAAACCAUCAGAUCAGCUCCAAUUCCAUGGCAACUGAAUGCACCACUUUGAAAUGACAAGAUUCGAUCUGCUCCAUGUCCAGUCGUGACCCAGGGGAGCGUCUGUGGGAUUCCACCCAGGAUGACGUAUGUGUGCUGGGGACGUGAAUCAUCCCGCAGCUGCCCCCCUUACCGGCUCCAGCUCCGCAGGAGCAAUGCAGCCAACGUUCAAACUGCUCUGUUUAAAACAAACCCGAGCUCAUAACAGUGAGGGAACUAAAGUCACUUCGAAGCCACAAUGAUGUUGUGUUCAAUUAUGUUCAAUUAUCCCGGAACAUGAUCGUUCCGGAUAGAUUAGGCUGCGCUCACGUGAGACAUGGCAUCUGCAAGGCUUGAUUCUGUUGUCAUUGCCUGACAAUACACUUCAGUGCAGGAGCUAAGUGUCAUAGACAGUAGAUUGGAUAAACAACUCUGCAGCUGAGACACCGGCUAAAUUCAGGUUGAAUAGGAUUUUAAUUCAAGAGGCUCAUAAUUUAUUUUGCCAAUGACAUGCUUUAAUACUUUGAAUGCGAUCAGGAUGCAAUAGGGAUGUAUCGGCAGUGACACUGACCUUAUUACGCUGAUCUGGUAUCAACCGUGACAUGACGUUUCCAAAUUAAAUACAGUGUCUUUGUCAAUGUCAUUAUGUAAUUCUGUAUUUUCUGAUAUCAGUUACAUCCAUUUAGUCAAAGUUGGCCCACGGGUCAGUUCCCUGGACUCAUGUUACCUUACAUGAAAAUGAUUCCAGUGUGUUACAUAGAAAAAGAGAGCAUAAGGUAUCGAUCAGUGCUCGGUAUGAGCAGAUACCCCGAACUGAAGCAUGAGAGUCAGUAUCCGAAAAUAAAAAAGUCAGAUCUGUGCAUCCCUAGAAGGCAAUGUGUUCUUCAGCUUUCUCACAAGUCUUGAACAUCAACUUAACAACAACAUGGGAAGGUUUUCAGCCACUGCGUCUGUUUAUGUUUAACAGAAUGAACCCACCUGACACAAACACUGAUGUCUGCCACAAGAGAGGCUGAAUGGGUCCAAAUGGGUUACAGAGCCGCAUUUGUCCAUAUUCAGAAAAACAACAUCUAAAGA